GACGAACGCUGACGGCGUGCUUUAGACAUGCAAGUCGAACGAGAGAGCCCUUCGGGGUUAGUAAAGUGGCGAACGGGUGAGUAACACGUGGGCAAUCUGCCCUUCGUUGGGGGACAACCGGGGGAAACCCCGGCUAAUACCCCGUAAGCUUGUCGGGUCGCAUGGCCUGACAAGGAGAGGUAGCUUCGGCCAUCCGGCGAAGGAGGAGCCCGCGGUACAUUAGCUAGUUGGUGAGGUAAAGGCCCACCAAGGCGACGAUGUAUAGCUGGUCUGAGAGGAUGAUCAGCCACACUGGGACUGAGACACGGCCCAGACUCCUACGGGAGGUAGCAGUCGGGAAUCUUGCACAAUGGGCGAAAGCCUGAUGCAGCAACGCCGUGUGAGCGACGAAGGCCCUAGGGUCGUAAAGCUCUGUUGUUAGGGACGAAGGGCGAAGGGUUAAUAGCCCUUAGCCUGACGGUACCUUUCGAGGAAGCCCCGGCUAACUACGUGCCAGCAGCCGCGGUAA
rnacentral:rRNA from 1 species